GGACAAUGGGCGAAAGCCUGAUCCAGCAAUGCCGCGUGUGUGAAGAAGGCCUUCGGGUUGUAAAGCACUUUUUGUCCGGAAAGAAAUCCUUGGCUCUAAUACAGUCGGGGGAUGACGGUACCGGAAGAAUAAGCACCGGCUAACUACGUGCCAGCAGCCGCGGUAAUACGUAGGGUGCGAGCGUUAAUCGGAAUUACUGGGCGUAAAGCGUGCGCAGGCGGUUUGCUAAGACCGAUGUGAAAUCCCCGGGCUCAACCUGGGAACUGCAUUGGUGACUGGCAGGCUAGAGUAUGGCAGAGGGGGGUAGAAUUCCACGUGUAGCAGUGAAAUGCGUAGAGAUGUGGAGGAAUACCGAUGGCGAAGGCAGCCCCCUGGGCCAAUACUGACGCUCAUGCACGAAAGCGUGGGGAGCAAACAGGAUUAGAUACCCUGGUAGUCCACGCCCUAAACGAUGUCAACUAGUUGUUGGGGAUUCAUUUCCUUAGUAACGUAGCUAACGCGUGAAGUUGACCGCCUGGGGAGUACGGUCGCAAGAUUAAAACUCAAAGGAAUUGACGGGGACCCGCACAAGCGGUGGAUGAUGUGGAUUAAUUCGAUGCAACGCGAAAAACCUUACCUACCCUUGACAUGGUCGGAAUCCUGCUGAGAGGUGGGAGUGCUCGAAAGAGAACCGAUACACAGGUGCUGCA
rnacentral:rRNA from 1 species